rnacentral:rRNA from 1 species
CCUACGGGCGGCAGCAGUGGGGAAUAUUGGACAAUGGGGGGAACCCUGAUCCAGCCAUGCCGCGUGUGUGAAGAAGGCCCUCGGGUUGUAAAGCACUUUCAGUGAGGAAGAACGCCUGGUGGUUAAUACCCAUCAGGAAAGACAUCACUCACAGAAGAAGCACCGGCUAACUCCGUGCCAGCAGCCGCGGUAAUACGGAGGGUGCGAGAGUUAAUCGGAAUUACUGGGCGUAAAGCGCGCGUAGGUGGCUUGAUAAGCCGGUUGUGAAAGCCCCGGGCUCAACCUGGGAACGGCAUCCGGAACUGUCAAGCUAGAGUGCAGGAGAGGAAGGUAGAAUUCCCGGUGUAGCGGUGAAAUGCGUAGAGAUCGGGAGGAAUACCAGUGGCGAAGGCGGCCUUCUGGACUGACACUGACACUGAGGUGCGAAAGCGUGGGUAGCAAACAGGAUUAGAUACCCUAGUAGUC